rnacentral:rRNA from 1 species
CGCGGCCUAUCAGCUUGUUGGUGAGGUAAUGGCUCACCAAGGCGUCGACGGGUAGCCGGCCUGAGAGGGUGACCGGCCACACUGGGACUGAGACACGGCCCAGACUCCUACGGGAGGCAGCAGUGGGGAAUAUUGCGCAAUGGGCGAAAGCCUGACGCAGCAACGCCGCGUGCGGGAUGAAGGCCUUCGGGUUGUAAACCGCUUUCAGCAGGGAAGAAGCCGCAAGGUGACGGUACCUGCAGAAGAAGCACCGGCUAACUACGUGCCAGCAGCCGCGGUAAUACAUAGGGUGCAAGCGUUGUCCGGAAUUAUUGGGCGUAAAGAGCUCGUAGGUGGUCGAUCACGUCGAAUGUGAAAAUCUGAGGCUUAACCUCAGACCUGCAUUCGAUACGGGUUGACUAGAGUGUGGUAGGGGAGACUGGAAUUCCUGGUGUAGCGGUGGAAUGCGCAGAUAUCAGGAGGAACACCGAUGGCGAAGGCAGGUCUCUGGGCCAUUACUGACACUGAGGAGCGAAAGCGUGGGGAGCGAACAGGAUUAGAUACCCUGGUAGUCCACGCCGUAAACGGUGGGCGCUAGUUGUGGGAACCUUCCACGGUUUCUGCGACGCAGCUAACGCAUUAAGCGCCCCGCCUGGGGAGUACGG